GAUGAACGCUGGCGGCGUGCCUAAUACAUGCAAGUCGAGCGAACGGACGAGAAGCUUGCUUCUCUGAUGUUAGCGGCGGACGGGUGAGUAACACAUGGAUAACCUACCUAUAAGACUGGGAUAACUUCGGGAAACCGUAGCUAAUACCGGAUAAUAUUUUGAACCGCAUGGUUCAAAAGUGAAAGACGGUCUUGCUGUCACUUAUAGAUGGAUCCGCGCUGCAUUAGCUAGUUGGUAAGGUAACGGCUUACCAAGGCAACGAUGCAUAGCCGACCUGAGAGGAGGAGCGGCCACACUGGAACUGAGACACGGUCCAGACUCCUACGGGAGGCAGAAGUAGGGAAUAUUUGACAAUGGGCGAAAGCCUGAUCGAGCAAUACCGCGUGGGUGAAGAAGGUCUUCGGGUCGUAAAACUCUGUUGUUGGGGAAGAAAAGAAGCGGGAGAAUACCUGGACGUUAUGACGGUACCCAAAGAAUAAGCCACGGCUAACUUCGUG
rnacentral:rRNA from 1 species